GCGCUCGUAGCUCAGUUGGAUAGAGCAAUGGUCUCCGAAGCCAUGUGCCGGCCGUUCGAAUCGGCUCGAGCGCA
rnacentral:tRNA from 1 species